GAUGAACGCUGGCGGCGUGCCUAAUACAUGCAAGUCGAGCGAACGGACGCUGAUUUUGCUUCUCUCUUGUUAGCGGCGGACGGGUGAGUAACACGUGGAUAACCCACCUAUAAGACUGGGAUAACUUCGGGAAACCGGAGCUAAUACCGGAGAAUAUUUUGAACCGCAUGGUUCAAAAGUGAAAUACGGUCUUGCUGUCACUUCUCGCUGCAUCCCCGCUGCAUGAGCUAGUUGGUAAGGUAACGGCUUUUCAAGGCAAGCAUGCAUGACCGACCUGAGAGGGUGGUCGGCCACACUGGAGCGGGACCGCCGUCCUGGCUCCUACGGGAGGGCGCAGUAGGGAAUGGUCCGCAAUGGGGGGAAGCCUGACGGAGCAACGCCGCGUGAGUGAUGACAGUCUUCGGAGCGGAAAACCCUGUUAUGAGGGAAGAACAUAUGUGUCAGUAACUGUGCACAGCGUGACGGUACCUAGUCAGGAAGCAACGGCUAACUACGUG
rnacentral:rRNA from 1 species